rnacentral:rRNA from 1 species
UGAAAAAGUACGUGAAAUUGUUGAAAGGGAAGGGAAUGUGAUAGACUUGCUGUUUUUGGCCCGCCGGCCUCUUUAGCGGGCUUGGGCCUCUCAAAAAUUCCACUGGCCCCACAUCCCGCCUGGCAACACGAUAAAUCUGUAAGAAUGUAGCUACCUCGAUAGCGUUAUAGCUUAUUGCAAUACUGCUAGCUGGGAUUGAGGACUGCGCUGAUGCAAGGAUGUUGGCAUAAUGGUUAAAUGCCGCCCGUCUUGAAACACGGACCAAGACGGGCUGGGCGGCAUUUAACCAUUAUGCCACAUCCUUGC